GUGCCACUGUGAUUCCGACCAGAGUGCCACUGUGAUUUCGUGGCAGUAUCUUCGCCCCGGUCGUGUUUUUGCGCUCGUGCUGUGUUUUGCCCUUUUAGCAGAUUUAAUGAAGCUGAGCAAAUAUAGAUAACACUUGCUCACUCCACCAACGAGAAAAUGAACUUUGAAGAAAACGAUAAAUUUUAUUCGAAGCAGUCGAGCUAUGCUGCCACCAACGGAUCGGCCGAGAGCCCCGCUGGUUCGGCCGAGUCGGCGAUCAGCUGGAUGCCAAAAGGGGACGGCUGCGAAGGGCGGGCGCGGAAGGGGCUGACGAUGAUCCUCGGCGCGAUGUUCCUCGUCGGGGAAAUGGCCGGCGCGGGGGU